rnacentral:rRNA from 1 species
GAUGAACGCUGGCGGCGUGCCUAAUACAUGCAAGUCGAGCGAACUGAUUAGAAGCUUGCUUCUAUGACGUUAGCGGCGGACGGGUGAGUAACACGUGGGCAACCUGCCUGUAAGACUGGGAUAACUUCGGGAAACCGAAGCUAAUACCGGAUAGGAUCUUCUCCUUCAUGGGAGAUGAUUGAAAGAUGGUUUCGGCUAUCACUUACAGAUGGGCCCGCGGUGCAUUAGCUAGUUGGUGAGGUAACGGCUCACCAAGGCAACGAUGCAUAGCCGACCGGCGAGGGUGACCGGCCACACUGGGACUGGGACACGGCCCAGACUCCUACGGGAGGCAGCAGUAGGGAACCUUCCGCAAUGGACGAAAGUCUGACGGAGCAACGCCGCGUGAGUGAUGAAGGCUUUCGGGUCGUAAAACUCUGUUGUUAGGGAAGAACAAGUACUAGAGUAACUGCUUGUACCUUGACGGUACCUAACCAGAAAGCCACGGCUAACUACGUGCCAGCCGCCGCAGUAACAC